AGUGAACGCUGGCGGUAGGCCUAACACAUGCAAGUCGAACGGCAGCACAGUAAGAGCUUGCUCUUACGGGUGGCGAGUGGCGGACGGGUGAGGAAUACAUCGGAAUCUACUUUUUCGUGGGGGAUAACGUAGGGAAACUUACGCUAAUACCGCAUACGACCUACGGGUGAAAGCAGGGGAUCUUCGGACCUUGCGCGAUUGAAUGAGCCGAUGUCGGAUUAGCUAGUUGGCGGGGUAAAGGCCCACCAAGGCGACGAUCCGUAGCUGGUCUGAGAGGAUGAUCAGCCACACUGGAACUGAGAAACGGUCCAGACUCCUACGGGAGGCAGCAGUGGGGAAUAUUGGACAAUGGGCGCAAGCCUGAUCCAGCAAUACCGCGUGGGUGAAGAAGGCCUUCGGGUUGUAAAGCCCUUUUGUUGGGAAAGAAAAGCAGCAGGUUAAUACCCCGCUGUUCUGACGGUACCCAAAGAAUAAGCACCGGCUAACUUCGUG
rnacentral:rRNA from 1 species